AAAACCUGCAUAAAACAUAGAUAUAUGACCUGCAGAAUAUACGCUUUUGGGUUUCUGUUGACAUGGCUAUCAUUAGCUAAUAUUUCCACAAGCUGACAUCCUUGAAAACUGACAACACGCUAUUCUCAGCGACUGUCUACUCACUCUUUUUGGGUACAAAACUUUUUCGAGGUAAAAGUUCAAAAGGUAUGUGCGAAGGUUUUGUUAGACUCAGUAUAGCAGUGUAACGAAUAAUACUGUGCUUAAGUUUACUUAGACUGGUAAACUGCAUUGUUGUUGUUCAGUGUGAUUGUGAAGAUGUCCUCAUCCUGCAACAUUCCAAUACAUAGAUGCAUCAUCAUCAUGUUCAUCAUCAACAUUCCAGGACUUUGUAUACCACCGUUGAAUAUUUAGCCUGCAGAGGUACACUAUGGCAAUACGGUUAUUAUUGAUCUUAUAUUCAUAUAUUUUUUUCUCAUUCAAUGAAUGACUGAUUCUGUUGGUUUGUAAAACUGCAAAUAUUUUAUCAGUUGGAUUGUUCAACGCUGCACCUGCCAACCUAGUGUAGAGAUCUCCCUGUCUACCUGGUGUAGAGAUCUCCCUGCCUACCUGGUGUAGAGAUCUCCCUGUCUACCAGGUGUAGAGAUCUCCCUGCCUACCUGGUGUAGAGAUCUCCCUGGGUACCUGGUGUAGAGAUCUCCCUGUCUACCAGGUGUAGAGAUCUCCCUGCCUACCUGGUGUAGAGAUCUCCCUGUCUACCAGGUGUAGAGAUCUCCCUGUCUACCUGGUGUAGAGGUCUCCCUCCCAACCUGGUGUAGAGAUCUCCCUGUCUACCAGGUGUAGAGAUCCCCCUGUCUACCAGGUGUAGAGAUCUCCCUGUCUACCUGGUGUAGAGGUCUCCCUCCCAACCUGGUGUAGAGAUCUCCCUGGGUACCUGGUGUAGAGAUCUCCCUGUCUACCAGGUGUAGAGAUCUCCCUGUCUACCAGGUGUAGAGAUCUCCCUGGGUACCUGGUGUAGAGAUCUCCCUGUGUACCUGGUGUAGAGAUCUCCCUGUUGUGUCAAUUGUCUUAUGUAUCUGUCCAUCAUGUAUGAAUCAUUGACUCUAUGAGCUUGUCAUUUAUCAGCUGUAUACCCGGGACUACAAAAGGGGCAAAGUAAUAAACAGCUAUGUUCAUUUGGCAAUGGUGAAUAACUCGAUAUUUUGUGUAUCCUUAUUGUCAGAAUACUGCUUGUGUCAAAAAUGUCAUGUAAGGUAGAUUUACAGUAUUUGCGGGAGUUUUGCUUGGAUGACAGACUGGUACUACUUACAUAGUACAUCAAGUCCCACUGCAGGAGCAGUGGCGAGGGUGCUGGGAGAACGUUGUGUGGCUCGUUGAUGUUGCUGUGUGACGUGUUGUAUGUUGUGUACAGACAGCAGAUGUUUGGGUAGAACCUACACUGAAAUACUGUUUAUGGGGAUGGUAAUGUUCUCCGGACAAUGACACAGACAAGUGUAUAUAUUUAGUGAAUCUUCUGAAGUGUGUAUCAGUGUAACUAACAAUAAACAACCAACAUACUUCUUUCCUAACAAUAACCAACAGGAAGGUAGAACUUCUCGCUUCAGACAGAUCCAGACUAACAAUGUUUCACUUGAACACAUGCAGUAAACACACACACACACACACACACACACACACACACACACAACAUACACUAUAAAUGGCUCUAUGACUGCUUAGCUUGACUUGCAAUAAUACUGAAAAUCUUUUGAAACGGUCAUGUUUUUGCAGUUCAUGUUUUCAUCUUGUAGUGUUCCCAUCUGCAAGUCAGCUGAAGCUUGCUCUGUGUUGCAUAGCAACCAGUUUACUCAACUUGGCAGAACAAAACAAAUUAUAUUAAUUAUUUUUCAAAACAUGUAGAGGAAACUGUUCAUUUUUCAUAUUCCACCAGUAACUUAGUACUGUUGCAAACAAAAAUGCAUGUGUCAUCCAUUUUUGUAUGCUGAGUGCGAUAUACUUGUUUGUCCGACAAGUCAUCAGAUUAUGUUAUAUAUUUAACACAGAUUCUCUUAAUGUACUCUGAAAGCACUGUUUGUAGGCAGCCUGAAAAUAGUCAUCACAAACUGUGUUUAAUCACUUGUGCGAAGGUUUUCAUACUUUCAGAUAAUACAGUUCAUGCUGACUACCUGAUACAUGACCAUGUGUCUGUGCAUUUGUCAUGCAAAACCUUUGUUUGCUUUGUAGUUUUAAGAUUCUCACAAACCCUUGUACAUGCCAUGCUUUGUAGGAAACAGUGAAACCUUGCUUCCUUGUCACCCCGGGAAACCGACGGUUUUAUGGCGUUAUUCUUCUGUGUAAGCUGAGUAGCAAUCUGUAAUGUGAGGUCAGCAAGUUAAAGUGUUAGGUGGGGAUUGGGUUUGCAUGGUCUCACUGUGAGAGAGUUUAAAUCUUCAUCACUGUUUUUGCUGCAUCCAAUCAAUUUUUCGUUUUAGGUUAUAAUCCCUUCAAAAGAUGAAUAAUUUUGUUUAUAUUUUAUGAUCAUACAGGUAAUAUUUUUGGUUUGUGAAUAGCAGAUAUAUAUUUGUUAAACAUGUAAUUAUAAAGAUGGCAACAAGAGUGAUAAGUGAUGUUUGAAUUACCACUCUUUACAGAUUCAUUUGUGCUGUUUGCCUUUAUGCAAUUCACUGGUAAUAAACAAUGGAUUUUUA